CGGGGUGUAGCGCAGUUUGGUAGCGCAUCCGCUUUGGGAGCGGAGGGUCGCAGGUUCGAAUCCUGUCACCCCGACCA
rnacentral:tRNA from 1 species